AGAUGGAGGACUCUCCUUCAUGGUGGAUAGCUGCUGUGGUUGUAGCUGUGCUAGCCAUAGCAUUGGCAGCUAUUGUUGGGAUUCUGAAGCUCAGAGCUGACUGUUCCAAAUCUGGCCAAAUUAUGGAGGAGGCCACUAUGAUGCAACCUAUGAGAGACAAAACAGGCUGUGGGAUCCACUCUGAGAAUAUCCACUUAGCAGACAACCAUGAUGACCACACAUAGUCCAUACUACUAAAGAGACUCGUUGCUUUGAAGGACGAAAUGAUCACAAACUACCUACAUACUCAUCGCCGUAAACGACGUGACCACUAUUUUGGAUUAUUGUGCAGCAGCCCAUCUGUCUGAGUAGAGCUGUUGAUUUCAUCAUGUUUUUGAAAGAAAAAACAUCAAGUGUCCCUUUGGCGUGGAUGAACCGGAGCGUCAAAAAAGGGACCAACAGCUUUGGAGAGAGUCCCUUACUCUCAAACAGAAUUUGCAAUCCUGUAACGAGAGGGUCUCCUGGACUACAGCAGACACACACUA